GACGAACGCUGGCGGCGUGCUUAACACAUGCAAGUCGAACGGAAAGGCCCUGCUUUUGUGGUGUUCUCGAGUGGCGAACGCGUGAGUAACACGUGAGUAACCUGCCCUUGACUUUCGUAUAACUUCACGUAACUGGGGCUAAUACCGUAUCGGAGCUCCUGCUCCAUGGUGGGGGUUGGAUAGUUUCGGCGGUUGGGGAUGGACUCGCGGCUUAUCAGCUUGUUGGUUGGGGAGUUGCUUACCCAGGCUUUGACGGGUAGCCGGCCUGAGAGGGUGACCGGCGUCAUGGGGACUGAGAGACGGCCCAGACUGCUACGGGAGGCAGUAGUGGGGAAUAUUGCACAAUGGGCGGAAGCCUGAUGCAGAAACGCCGCGGGCGGGAUGACGGCCUUCGGGGUGUAAACCGCUUUAGCCUGUGACGAAGCGUGAGUGACGGUAAUGGGUAAAGAAGCACCGGCUAACUACGUG
rnacentral:rRNA from 1 species